AUGAAUUGCCUAAGUUGGAACUGCCGGGGAGGGAACACCCGGACAGUUCGUGAGUUAGCAACGCUUUGCAAGUCGCGUUCCCCCAUGCUUGUUUUUCUAUGUGAAACUAGACAGAAGGAGGAGAAGACGAAGAGGAUCCGAGCCAAAUUAGGUCUUAAGGGUUUUUGUGCUGUGGACAACAAUGGUAUGAGUGGAGGUUUGGCGUUAUACUGGAGGGAAGAUUGUGUGGCAGAUAUUUUGGAACAAGACGAUAGAUUUAUUGAUGCAAUUAUUAGAGUUCGAGAAGGAGCUGCCCAAUGGAGAGCCACUUUUGUGUACGGCGAGCCGAGGGUGGAGAACAGACACCUAAUGUGGACUAAGAUUCAGAAUCUGAAAUCUGUCAAUAACUUGCCAUGGCUGGUGAUAGGUGAUUUUAACGAGGCUAUGUGGGAUUUUGAGCACCUCUCGAUCACGCCUCGGGCAGAGCCGCGGAUGUUAGCAUUUCGGGACACGUUGGAGAUGUGUGAACUAGUGGAUCUUGGUUUCAUCGGCCUACCUUUCACAUACGAUAACAGACGGAGUAGGUCGGCAAAUGUUAAGGUGAGACUUGAUCGGGCAGUGGCUACGAAUGAAUGGCGCAACUUGUUUGUGUUUGCUGCAGUUGAACAUAUACCCUCUCGAUGCUCCGAUCAUGUGGUGGUUUUCCUGAGAGCCGGAUCCGGGUCCCACUGGGGGGAGGAGCGGGAGGUAUGA
rnacentral:rRNA from 1 species